AGGCGGUGCCUCGCGCGUCGGGGCGCAGGGGUACUCGGUCUCGGUUACUGGCCCCUCGGCCUGUCCUGGUGAGGCAGGACGGGCACUGACGGACGCUGCAGGCGACAUGGCACACGGGCGAGGCGGGGCUGCCACGGCAGGAGACCCGGGACAGGCUCCGUCCCGGAAGCGCCCACGGAGCCCCGGAAGCGCCCACGGAGCCCCGGAAGCGCCCGCGGAGCCCCGGAAGCGCCCGCGGAGCUCUCCAGUUGCCGACGUCCCAGAGCAACUGGUUGAAGAGCAAAAACACAGGGAAGGCAGCUGGCAGUGAGUCACCCCAGAAACCCAGAAACAGCGGCUGUUCCUGGUUCCUGAGACUGGCGGCCUUUGAACUGGAACUUAAACCAUCCGUCUCCUGGUUCGAACCUGGACUGGAACUACGCUGUCAGCUCUCCUGGGUCUCACUUGCUGACUGCAGAUCUUGGGGCUUCUCAGCCUCCAUAAUAGCACAAGCAAAUCCCUUCGAGUAAAUUGCUUCCUCUCUCUCUAUGCA